CAAAACACUGUUUUCCUCGGUUCCUGCAUUUUGCAUAGUUUAGUUUACAUACGUCAAUAACAUGGGAAGAACAAAAACGUGACCCAACAGCCACCUGGACGAGUACUGUGUAUCGCAGACUGUUAUCUAUUUAUUUUAUAUAAUAAACAGUUGAAAAAUGAGCUAAACCAAGAUCGUACCGAAACGUUUUGAAGCAUGGGUGGGAAAAUAGUGGACCAUGCAUGGGUCUCAAAAUAUUUUGUGAUCAGCACAAAGAAUAUAGAAAAUAUUAUCAAUGUCAAAUCGAAAGAAAUAAAACUGCAGUGAGCAGAUCAAGUGUAUCUUCAACCUCUCGGUCACCCAUUCCAACUCCCACUGGAGUGUAAACUAACGUGGACAUAAUUUGAGCAAUACUUUUGCUUCCAUAAACGUUGUUUAUUCCACUGGAACAUAGUAUUUGACUCCUUGUCACAAUAAUACAGUUCAACAGUUACGUACAAUUAUGAACUGCCGAUUCCUCACAGAAAAAUAAUUUUCCAGUGGACCCAGAAAAUAUUUUUUCCAUCCCUGUGUCUUGAAGCGCAACGGAAAGAGAUUUACACGCCAGUCGACAUGUUAAUAAUCUAUACAAAAUAACGCACGCCAUUGGUUCGCGAUGCUUCUGAGAGAGCUGUGAUUGGGUUAAACAUUGUCACUGAAAUGGCGUUAUCCGUCCGUAUGUUCUCUAUAAUAGAGAUGAGGGUUCCCUACACUCUGGUUAAUAUUUUUCUGGUCAAUCUAGAAACAGCCCUAUUUGGGUUAACUUAGUAUUCCUGGUUAAAUUUCGUGAUUAACUUGACCAGGACUUCCUGAUUAACCAGACUACGUUGGUGGUCAAAUAGCCGGGGGCUCUUGUAGUACAUCCACCUAGCACAGUCUGGUUAUUUUAACAAGGACGACCUGGUCAAAUAUAACCAGUUUCUGGGUAUAAAAUAACCAGGAAAUUUAACCAGGAUUAUUGUUAUUUGUGUAGGUUUACCAAGAAUGUUUUUAGAAUGUACCAAUAAGGCAAUUGGGCAAAUCAAACUUGGGUUAUCAUAUCAUGUUUUAUUGUUUUACAGAAAAGAAACGCCGUGACAUGUUAACGCCCGAGAGUUCACCGAUUGCAAGGCCGUCGUUAUACGGAAGAUUACAAAAUUGGUUUUUUAACGAAGAUUAAUGGGAGUAACGAA